GACGAACGCUGGCGGCGUGCUUAACACAUGCAAGUCGAACGUGAUUUUUGUGGAAAUUCUUUCGGGAAUGGAAACGAAAUGAAAGUGGCGAACGGGUGAGUAACACGUGAGCAACCUACCUUACACAGGGGGAUAGCCGUUGGAAACGACGAUUAAUACCGCAUGAGACCACAGAAUCGCAUGAUAUAGGGGUCAAAGAUUUAUCGGUGUAAGAAGGGCUCGCGUCUGAUUAGCUAGUUGGAAGGGUAAAGGCCUACCAAGGCGACGAUCAGUAGCCGGUCUGAGAGGAUGAACGGCCACAUUGGAACUGAGACACGGUCCAAACUCCUACGGGAGGCAGCAGUGGGGAAUAUUGCACAAUGGGGGGAACCCUGAUGCAGCGACGCCGCGUGAGCGAAGAAGGUUUUCGAAUCGUAAAGCUCUGUCCUAUGAGAAGAUAAUGACGGUAUCAUAGGAGGAAGCCCCGGCUAAAUACGUGCCAGCAGCCGCGGUAAUACGUAUGGGGCGAGCGUUGUCCGGAAUUAUUGGGCGUAAAGGGUACGUAGGCGGUUUUUUAAGUCAGGUGUGAAAGCGUGAGGCUUAACCUCAUUAAGCACUUGAAACUGGAAGACUUGAGUGAAGGAGAGGAAAGUGGAAUUCCUAGUGUAGCGGUGAAAUGCGUAGAUAUUAGGAGGAAUACCGGUGGCGAAGGCGACUUUCUGGACUUUUACUGACGCUCAGGUACGAAAGCGUGGGGAGCAAACAGG
rnacentral:rRNA from 1 species